rfam:Triticum aestivum genome assembly, contig: Triticum_aestivum_CS42_TGACv1_scaffold_132653_2BL
CUACUACUCCCUCCGUCCGAAAAUACUUGUCAUUGAAAUGGAUGUAUCUAGAUGUAUUUUAGUUCUAGACACAUCCAUUUUGGUGACAAGUAAUUCCGGACGGAGGGAGUAUUAU